rnacentral:lncRNA from 12 species
GUUCUAAAAUAUUAUUUCUUGCUUAUCUGAAAUUCACAAUUACCUUAGCAUUAUCCACUUUGUUUGGCAAUCCUACACGGAGACUAUUUUGAAAUGUCAAUCACUGCUGAAGUUCUUGCUUUAGAUAUUCUUACUUAAUUGGUCCAAGGUGCAGCCUGGGCAUAUGGACUUAACAAAAUACCCUAAAUGACUCUAAUGUUCAGUCAUGGUUGAGAGUUACUGAUUAAAAACUCCCCUUCUUAUUAAUCAGAUGAGAAAACUGAAACUUAAGGAGUUGUGUAGUCUGGCCAUACAGAAUAGAAUGGGGUUUAAAGUUUAGAGUUUCAGGAACUUUUUGCCUUAUAUUCCCUCCAUCUUGUAUAGAAAGCAUAUUGCUCUCUUAGAAGCUUAAACAACAGCCUCACCUGGAAGCUUCAUUUGUGCCUAGGUCCCUGAGGUUGAGGAGGUUGUCUUCCCUCAUUUGAGUUCUCCCUUUAAGCCCCUGCAGGCCUCAUCCCAGAUGAGCAACAGCCUUCAGAUCCUGAGUUUAAAAGCCUGAUCCAGACCCGAGUCAUUGGCACCACUCCCUAACUCCUCUCUACUGCAGUUGGAGUCUUCAUCCUUCUCUGGAUCCAUGGGGGCUGCUCUAGACUGAUGAAGGUUUCCCCAUCUGGAUUUCCAUCUUCAUAAACCUGAGAGUGCCUCUGGUGUUGAGAGUGGCAGAAGGUGUUUGUUCCUUCUCUACCCUUAUGGAUAGAUUGCCACAUCCACCUGGGAUUCUAGAAGAUGUUUGUGAUUAUAUGUGUGUCUCAUAGAGACACACACACAGAGAGAGAGAGAGAGAGAGAGAGAGAGAGGCAGAGACACAGGCAGAGGGAGAAGCAGGCUCCAUGCAGGGAGCCCAACGUGGGACUCGAUCCAGGGUCUCCAGGAUCAAACCCCAGGCUGCAGGCAGCGCUAAACCGCUGCGCCACGGGGGCUGCCCUGAUUUUUCUGUACAUUUAUGUUUUUCUCUUUAUAAUGAAUAUAUAUCUAAGGAGAUACUUUAAGACUAUUAUCAAUAUAUUGUUUCUUAAAUAUUCUGUUUGUGCCCACUAAUUUUAGUAGUUCUUGGUGGAUGUUGCCUACAACAAUUUUGAUCUUGGUAUGCACCAUUUCUUUUUCUAUUGGGUUGUAUUGUGUAUUAGCUAAUGAGCCUUAUACGUUGAUCUGAGUCUGAAGCAUAACUCUUCUUCUGUCAGAUUAUGACAUGGUGAGUUGAAUAUUAGAAAUGCUUGCUCAAAAUUAUUGAAUAUCAUAUUCCUACCUUAGGUUCAACUGAAAUAAAAACACAGCCAUCUAACA